AUUGAACGCUGGCGGCAGGCCUAACACAUGCAAGUCGAGCGAGCGGCGGACGGGUGAGUAAUGUAUGGGGACUGCCCGAUAGAGGGGGAUAACUACUGGAAACGGUGGCUAAUACCGCAUACUAUCGGAUAACCCAUAUGGGAUUAGCUAGUAGGUGGGGUAAAGGCUCACCAAGGCGACGAUCGCUAGCUGGUCUGAGAGGAUGAUCAGUCACACGGGGACGGAGACAGGGCCCAGACGCCAACGGAGGCAGCAGUGGGGAAUAUGGCACAAUGGGCGCAAGCCUGAUGCAGCCAGGCCGCGUGUAUGAAGAAGGCCUUAGGGUUGUAAAGUACUUUCAGCGGGGAGGCGUUACCCGCAGAAGAAGCACCGGCUAACUCCGUGCCAGCAGCCGCGGUAAUAC
rnacentral:rRNA from 1 species